rnacentral:lncRNA from 1 species
GGGGGUGUGGUAUGUCACAGCUCCCCUAUCAGCUGGCACACGGCGGUGGGAGAUAUGAGACAGCAGAAAAAGUCGUAGUAACAACAUCACCCAGACUGCCGAAGACGGAACGAAUGCGCUGAGUAACUUCAGUGUGCGUGCACUUACUUUCCGAAAACAGGUGGAGGGUUUUCAGCCCUGGCUUCUGCUCGCACAUCCCACUCGGCACAGAUGGGUGGUCAUGUUGCCAACUAUGCAGCAGAAAGGCGAUGGUUCGUUAGCGUCGUAUUAGCGCCUUUAGCAGACAUGGAAACUCAGACGCACUCUUUUAAGUAGAUUUCUGUAUUUUUGCCUGCAUCCUCAAUUAACUCCAGCCUACUAAUUUUUAGCAGAAGAAACAGUUGUUUUCUCCUUCAUCUUAAAGUUGUGUUUCCAAGUAGGAGAAGAAUCCAAGAACGAAACCAGUUUUGAGUAAUAGUGUCAUUCAGCAGCUCCCUGAGCAUCAGGAUUGAAAGGACACAUCAGAUGCCACAGCAGAAGCCAGAAUUUUGUUUCUCUUCUGAAGGACAAAGGGCUGAAUCAACCAUCGCUACUGGUCCUGCAAUCCCAAGGAGCCUGUAGUUUUUCAAACCUAAGACUGAGAGGCUUUCAAGCAGCGGCAGUGUCUUCACACACACUUAAAAUAAA